rnacentral:lncRNA from 1 species
UCCUGUGUCAUUAAUGUCUAUAAAAAUGUCAAAGAAUAGUGUAAAAUGCCAGUUUACUAUCGUACAGGAAUAAUAUAACCCACAAUUAUUUCCAUUUGUGAAGCGAGGGCCAGUGAAUCUUUUGGAAAUGUUGCUUUAAUAAUAACCAUUAUUAAAUGUCCAUCACAGUUUCCCACAAAGCCCCAUGUGACGUCCAAAAUCCAAAGAUAUUCAGUUCAUGAUGAUAUUAAGCAGAAAAUCCUCACAAUUGAAAAUCUGAAUCUGGGUCAUGUUUGGUAAACUAAUCGAUUAUCAAAAGAGUCGCUGUUUAACUUUCGAUCUACUUAUCCUUCUUAUACGGCAGCUUUCUUAUUCCUGCUUUACUCUUUGUUUACCCAUCACGUUUUAGCUGGAGCUUAAGCUUACGUUUGAACUUUUACUCUACUAGUGUUUUUGGUUUCCCUCUCCUCUCUCUCUCCUCAUCUCUACUCCUCUCCUCUCUCUCUCCUCAUCUCUCCUCCUCUCCUCUCUCUCUCCUCUCUCUCUCUCUCUCCUCUCUCCUCUCUCUCUCUUCUCUCUCCUCCUCUCCUCUCUCUCUCCUCCUCCUCUCUCUCUCCUCUCUUCUCUCUCCUCAUCUCUCCUCCUCUCCUCAUCUCUCCUCCUCUCCUCUCUUCUCUCUCCUCUCUUCUCUAUCCUCCUCUCCUCUCUUCUCUCUUCUCUCUCCUCCUCUCCUCUCUCCCUCCUCCUCUCCUCCUCUCUCUCUCCUCUCUUCUCUCUCCUCCUCUCCUCUCUCUCUCCUCCUCUCCUCUCUCCCUCCUCCUCUCAUCUCUCUCUCUCCUCCACCUCCUCUCUCUCCUCUCUUCUCUCUCCUCCUCUCCUCUUCUCUCUCCUCUCCUCUCUCUCUCUCUCCUCCUCUCCUCUCUCCCUCCUCCUCUCUCCUCUCUCUCCUCCUCUCCUCUCUCCCUCUUCCUCUCCUCUCUCCUCCUCUCAUCUCUUUCCCCCUCCCCUCUCUCCCUCCUCCUCUCAUCUCUCUCUCUCCUCCACCUCUCUCUCUCCUCUCUUCUCUCUCCUCCUCUCCUCUUCUCUCUCCUCUCCUCUCUCUCUCUCCUCCUCUCCUCUCUCCCUCCUCCUCUCUCCUCUCUCUCCUCCUCUCCUCUCUCCCUCUUCCUCUCCUCUCUCCUCCUCUCAUCUCUUUCCCCCUCCCCUUUCCCCCUCCCCUCUCCUCUCUCCUCCUCCUCUCUCUCUCUCCUCUCUUCUCUCUCCUCUCUCUCUCCUCCUCUCCUCUCCUCCUCUCUCCUCUC